CUUCAGCGAGCCGAGCCACAGCGGACGGCCCUCGGAACGCUCCUUGCCGUACGUCGCCAGCAGGGCCUGUGCCUC
rnacentral:antisense_RNA from 1 species